CGAGCUCAAUGAUGUGUAUUACCUACAUUGUCUGACAUAAUAUGAUGUAAAAAAUAUCUGAGAGCUUG